GGGGCGGGUCCAUGGGUCCAUGGGCGCUGCCGCGCUCCGCCCCGGGGUGGCGGCCGAAGGGCUGGCGGUAGCGCGGCGGCCGGAGGAUAACCCUCUAUCGUGACCUCGUUGAUGGUAUGGUCUCUGAAACUGUUGUGAUGGCCCAGGGCUUGGCAUGAGUGACCAGCUGGGAAACUGGGGAUGAAAAAGACGUGGUGAUGAAAAGAAGUUCAAGAGAGAAAAAGGAAAGCUAAGCGCGAGAGGAGAGAAGAGAGGCAGAUAGAUGGAGAUGAGGAACAUCCCCCAAAGCAGCAGAAGGUACCGGCUGAAGAACAGCAGUGGCCAGAGAAUAUGCCUGAAUGGGAAGAAAGGAAAUCCCUGCUAGCUCAGAGAAGAGUGGAAUCUGUCAGACUGCUUACAGUGCUGUUAAAUCGUGUGAAAUUGGCAAGUCAAAAAGUGGAUCCUUCACUGGGUAUAAAGGACGAUUCAUUUUCUGAAACAGUAUUUAAAGACAUACAGCAGGAGCUGAUUAACUCCCUUUAUCGUACGCACAAAGAGCUGACACGUAAGGAGUUUAAGUGCCCGUUAACCCAAAAAGGUAGUGGUUUAUGUUGUGAGGAAGGAGAUGUGAGUAACUUCCAUGCAUCUACUUGUCACAUAGUCAGGACAAUUUUAAAUGAUCCGUCUCCAGCCCCGAGCUCUGAUGGACUGCCUGGCAGAGAUGUGUGCACCUCCUCCGCCAAAGGCUGUGGGCCUUUGCUGAUCACGGUUACCCAGGACGGCAGGGUCAUCGAACCUCUCCAUGGAAGGCACCACCCAGCACUGGAUGUAGCUCACACACAGACAUUGUCUGAGGAGGAUGAUUGCAAAAAGCCAAAGGUUUAUGAGACUGAUGAGUUCAUCCAUUAUUUACUAAACUACUAUCAGACACCACACUACGCACGUGUUUGCUUAGAGCCAAAAACCACUGCGAACAAUUCCCGGUGGAAGAGAGUGGUGUGUGAUGAUGGUAGUGGGUUUGACAGCUUGAGUAACAAACAUGGUCAGCACUUCAGAGAAGUGAGUCCUGUACAAAACCUCCAAAAGAGAAAUUGUAGUAGUGAUAGUAAUUAUAGGCUGGUGAUAUCUCUUGGGGAACUGGAGUCAACAGACGAAGUGUUAGAAAGCAAGGUCCAUGGGGGCAAGCUUGCAAAAAAGCUGCAAGUGCAGAGGAAUAACUCGCUUACUGUUGAUAACUUACCACAUGUUGGACUGAACCAUUCUUUGGAGUGCACUACUGUUACUCACAAUAAGGAAUUCAAACAAGAAGAUGGUAGAGAUGAAGGCACUGUACCAUAUGGAAGUAGAUCUGCUUGCAGAUUAAAGGAUUUGUUGGAAGAGAUCAGUGAUUCUGAGUACUUUAGAGAGGCAUGUGGCGGCUCAGUGAAGAGAGCAGAAAGAAGGUAUGAAGAAAUUUACAGCAGUUGCAAUAAAGGGUGCUUGUCUGCAAGAGCCGGGGAAAGAAAAUUACUAGUUUACCAUAAAAAUGUAGCUCUGGAAGGUCAAGAGAAGGAAAUCAGCCAGUGUAACUCCUGUUCUAAUUCUGUCCAUGAGGGCUUGGCAAGGCAGUGUGAACGUAAACUUAAAAAGUCGUGCAAGAGGUCUAGUAGUAAAUUAAGAUAUGAAGGAAAGAAAAGUGAGAGACAAUCCAGGGAAAAGGAGAAAAAUGCUCAUAAAAUGAAGAAAAAGCGAAAAAAGCUUUCUUCUAAUCUUUUAACUGAUGAAUGUGGCUUUUCAGAGACGGACAGUUGCAUGCAGCUGGAGUCGCUCAGAAAGAUACAGAGAAAAUGUAAGAAAAUGUUACACAAGAAAGUGAAAUUCAAGACACAUCACACCUCUAUGGCAGCACCACAUGUUACCCCUCAUGAUGGUUCACCCCUUCAGGAGACCCUCCAGAGGAGAGGAGAUGAGAGGAAAUUAAUGUUGAGAAGAGAGAUGGAUGCAGAUGUCAGAGGAUGUCCUCUAUUUCCUCUUGAGAUAAUUCAAACAAACCCCUUCUCAGAUACUUUCUGUGGAGGAGAGCCCAGAAGAGGAUGCUGAACAGCUACUGUAUUAUAGCUCUGAAGUUUUUAUAAAGUGGGAGAAGAAAGCCCUUUGAUCAUUAAAAGGUUAAAGAUAACAAAACUUCCCCCUCUGUCACAGUUUUGUGUCCAUGAGUACCCAUUUCCCGUGAGACAGGCCUUUUGGUGACAGUUUGAACCUGAUGUGUUCUAUUUGCCCCGGUUGCUGUUUCAAGAGGCUGGAUGCUUUUUAUGCAAACACUGUUUACUCUGACAUGUAUGAAGCUGGGACCUGAGACUGCAGAUCUUGCCGUCCAAUUUAAUUUUCUGUACAGAACUGGUGAAAAUACCUCCUCCUAGAGCUGGUAUGAAGAGAAGUUGGCUCAACAAUGCUUUGUUACUGAAAAUAUGUGACCUGUGGGUUGUACCUUGUGCUGAAUACUGAAGUCAAAAUCCUACAGGCUGGUUUUAAAGCAGAAAUACACAAGGCCCAUUAUUAAAUCAGUCCAUCUGCUUGAAAUAAAAUACAGCAAUUAUAAUAUAAAGCCCUUUCUUAAACCGGGGAUUCCAGGAAAUGCAUAGAAAUGCCUUUCAUAAAACCCCUUACAUAACUUUCAACAGAAGCAUUCAAUACUGAACUUUUUUUUGUUUAAUUGAAACAGCAGAAAGUAAGAGCAAAUAAAGGUGAUUAAGGGCAGGUGAAAAAUAUCUGAAUUUUACAAAGCAGGUAAAAGUAUGAGUUUUCCUAGCUGGAAAUAAGAUAUGACUCAAUUGUUUUGUCCUGGAGUAGAUCUUUGUGACAGGUGUUGGACACCUCAGAUAAGGGAGAUUAGUGACAUUCUCUGCAUUUAACUGGUCAUCAUGUCCUACCUGGUUAAUAUACAGACUGAUAAACUGCCUGGCAUUGUUCUUUUUGCAUAGUCAUUGGUACCAGUCACUGUUGAAGGAAGGGUUCAAGCUGUAAUUAAUAGACUUAAAAAGAAGCUAAAACCCCUCCAUUUUCUUCUGUACUUUGGAAAGAAGUAAAACCCAUGCCUGGUGCUUUAUGAGCAGCUUUUGUGACACACUUCUUCUCUUUUCACAAUAAAUUCUCUGUUUUCCCUGAAAAAGUAAGUCUUACCGAAGUGUCAUUCCUCCUCCCCAAGAAGUAUUAACAAUGAGCAUUGUCUUGUGUUACUGCCUGUUUUCUGCAUAAUUUUUGUUACUGUUUUUCUUUGUGAUGCAUAAUGUUCUGAUGUACAGAUUAAUACUUAAAAUAGUGUUCAGUUCCUCGGGAGAUGAUACAGAGUAACUUAAGAGUCCACUGAAGGGUAGGUUACAGCCUUCCAAAGCUCCAGCUCUUACUCAGUAUUAACAAUUACUUGGGUUUUUUUUCUGCCUAAUACUGUUUUUGCAAUGAGCAUGUUCUCUAUUUAAUAUUCUGUUAAAGUUUUACUAGUGAACUGCAUUUACAGUCAUUCCAUUAGAACACAUUUUACUGAAUCUAUGCAUUGGAUAAUGUGACACAUUGGAAAAAGACAAUAUAAAAUUUGAAACAUUAGGGGAGUAUUAAAUAUAACAUUUGGUUGCAGUAAAUGAAAACACCACCAUUAUGCAAGAGUAUUUUAUUUUCUGCCUUAAACAAAUAAAAGUACAUUUCCAAUUUGAGGUAAACCAUUAGUAGUAGUUUGCAAAGAGUAUAAAUGUCUCUAAAAAUAAAAUAGCAACACAAAGAUCAUGACAAGGUCUACAUGUGGCUCUAGACCUUCAUUAGGUAGUCCAUAGAGUACCACUUUACACAAACUCUCUGGCUCAAACAACCUUGCUCUUCAUUGGAAUGCCCAGUGCAACCAGAAGAAAAUCCCAGGACAGAGUUGGGACUGAGGGAGAGUUGGUUAUUCUCACCACAGUUGGUGUCAGGCACUUUAAUAUGUUGUGUCAAGUUGUUUAUGAAAACUGCUGUAGUGCAACACACUCUACUUCCGAACAUUUUUACCUAGUUUACACCUUCCCACAGAGGACUCAGUUCAUCCUUUUGAUCAUGUUGCCAAAUUGAAAUAACCACACAGCUGAGCCAGAGAAAUUAGACACAGGGAACUACACCAGACAGGCACCCUGAAUAUUCUGCACUAGCCGAAUCGCUUGGACAAGAAACAAAUUCACAAGUGAUCAGCAAAUCAUUAGUUAUCUUGGAAUUUAUAAGAAAAUUUUACAGAAGUAUUUUGGAAGAUGAACAAUUACGUUUUUCCUUGGUCAUAUCCAUUUACCCAGCCCUCUCUGGAAGGAGGCAGGCCACUUAGAAAAAACAUAGUAAUUAAGCAUAUAGUUAAGCUGAGAGAGCAAAUAGAUAAAAAGCAACUCAAAGGUCAGGUCCACAGGUGUAGCACUGCUGGUUAUGCAUGAGAUUGUGCCAUUUUGUUUAAUGGCAACAUUCCAAACCAACAAAGGCCUCAAUGCAGAAACAGCUUACACUGUUUUAUUUUGCACAUAACUUACGUAAGUUACAUUGACCAGUAAUGUUUUUCUGCUAGGUAAAGGUGCAUGUACAAGAGCACUUGCUAAUCAUGCCAUACCAGCAACUUCUGGUUUUUUAGGCCUAGGAAUCAAGAGCAGCUGAUGUUCCAUGUUUAAUAUAAUUCCAUUAACAUUCACAGGAGCGCUUUUUGCUAAGAAGAAAAUUGAAUGAACAAUAGUCAAGUCACACUCCAUGGUGUACCUUUAGGGACGCCUAGUUCCACUCAUUAUCUAAACUUUUGUAACACUAUAGAUGUGCUUUAAAAGUGAACAGAGAAUAUUAGUCUAUGCAGAAUUAUACAAGUUGAACACGUCAAGCAUUCAUCAGUCUUUAUUAAAUAUUUAAAAGUGAUUUAACCUCUCAAAAAUUCUUGAUCUUUUUCAAAAGCAGUUAGUGUUUCAUCUGUAAGUGGCUAAUGCAACGCCUUGAAAACCAAAUUAUCUUAUAUAAUAAAGAAUUACACUACACAACAAAGUAUGAUGCUUUGUGGACAAACAAAAUAUAGUCCCUUUUUUCUAAAGGAAUUACAAGCCAGGGACCAGGUCCUGCAGAAGCUAACACAAAAGAAUUAGUGGUGUUUGUGUUGCAUAUAUGAAGUUAUUCACGUGCUUGUGUCCACAAUGCUAGGUUGGUAAUGAAAAACUUGAUUUUGAUCUACUUUGCACUAAAUGGUGAUAGCAGAAAAAUAGUCCUUUAUUGCCAAAAUUGCAGUUUACUUUUGCACAGACAUUUGUCAUGCAUACUUCUUUUUAUGUGAGUUUAAAGGAAGACAGAUCAUAGAUCUUCAGAACCUUCCCACUGAAUUUGAAAAGGAAA